UUCUGCAUUAGACCUCCCCCUACCCACAGUAAAGCCACCGUUUAUGAAGCAGAAAAUGAACACCAGUUGAGUACGUGCGUGAAGGACCACGCCAUCUAAGCAUCUGCUCACGGUGAUGGGACCGUUUCCAUUACUUUUUUUUUGUCCAGUACAUAAUUGCCCCCACCAUGUCUUGCACUAACACAAAUGUGCCAGCAUCUCUCUGCUUCCAAUCCACAUGCCCCAACCUCCCUAGAUUCCCACUGAACUGCACUGAUAAACACCAACUGAUUGACAGCAGGUCCCCCAGUCCAUGUCGUACCCAAGUGAACAUGUAUCCCAGAGGACUUCACUGCUUGGGCUUCAGAGUCCGGUCCAGUUUCUCACCACACGGUGUCCACAUGUACGCCACACCCACUAUGUCACUUCCUGCCAUCACUUCACCCUGCCCUGGCUGCAUAAGACGGCGCUGAAAGGUAAAAGACCUUCAGAGACCGUCUGUAAGCCACAGCCGUUUUAACAUCGUUUCCUCGUGGCCGGUCAUGUUAAGCUUGCGCCAGGUAUUGGUAGUGUCUGAACACAGCCACGUAGCACAAGGGGAUGGGGGGCGUGUGUGUCCGUCCGUCCCCCCCUCCCAGUGACUGGUGUGUGCUGUACCCUGUGUCCAUGUUAGACUGAAUCCUACUUCAGGCACUUCUCAUGUAGACCUCAUCUCUCACUAACUCAGUGUAAAUGUCAAUCAAAUGGCUUGAUCGAAACAGACCCUGUAUUUAAUCUUGAUGACGGCCUCAGCCUCCCCCUCACACACACGCGCACACACACGCGCACACACACACCUGUGUGAAGGCAGAAAUGACUUGCCUUCCUGCCCGUUAAAUUCCCCAGUAAGACCAGUGAGGAGUGGAGUUAAGAGAGAAAGCAGUAUUUUGGUUGCUUAUACAGUAAUCACAUAAAUUAGAUUUCUACAAUAUGCAAAAUAAUAUUGGUUAAAUUCAAAAAAUAGGAUUUUAAACAUACAGCAACAGAAAUAAAAGGCAAUAAUUUUGGCUUUGGAAACAAACCUUUUUUUUUUUUUCCUUUCCUUUUGAAAAUGUCACUGAUAUAUAUAGAUAUAUAUACUGUUGAAAGCAGUAUGCUGGGAGACCCGAGGCAGAAACAGAAGAAAACAAAACACACACAAACGCACUCACUUGCUCACUCACACACACACACACACACACACACUAUAGCACAGACGUAUACGUCUCCACCUCACACUCCUGCAAGUGCAAAAUAAAAUAACUUUCAAGAAAAAAAAAAGGAAAGAAACAUUGUUGUAAUCCAGAGAUUUGGUACCAUAUAGCGCUACUUUAGAUAUGACUGUUGAAGAACAGUAGGCCUAGGCCUGCUACUGAAAAAAAAAUUAUAAAUUUAAAAUAAAAGAAAACCAAACCGAAAAAGGUGUGGAUACUAGGAGAGCAUGGUGUCACUCUACAGCUAAGAGUCUUUAGCUUGAUUUUUUUUUCUUCUUCAGUUUUUCCUUGUUUUUUUCUUUUAUAAGUUCAAAUUUUGACCGUUGUCCUAAUGGCACAAGAACGAGACCACAGUGACGUGACGUCCCACGGAGCAGU
ensembl:lncRNA